rnacentral:hammerhead_ribozyme from 1 species
AUACUGAUGAAGAGUCCCAAACUGGGACGAAACGAGCUUCCAGUAC